UCAGCUGAGGAUUUCCAUUUGUUUACAUGGCCCUCCAGGAUCUCUCCUGCACUUCCCCAGACUUGAUCCUGAAGCCUCCAUUUCCCUCCCUAUAGGAUUUGAGUCUUUGAAGCAUUUGAAAGAUCAUCUUUACCAUCAGCAACACCACUAUUCAUGUAUCUCAACUUCUUUUUCCAUGUCACUGGGAAAGUUAGAAAUGCAGAACUUCAGGUAUCAUCCAAGUUUCCCUUCCCUCCAUUCCUCCCAGUUCCUCUGCACACCCACCUCCCAUCUCUGGUAGACCCACAACUCCUCCAAACUUCAAAAAAGUGCUGACCUUCCAGGGACAUCAACCAAACAUGGCAUAACAGGGAAUGCAUCUGGAAAAGAGACUACCAGCAGAAGAGCAUAAAGGGGCGUGGAAGCCUAAACUGAACGAAGACCAAAGUGUGGACACUUUGCCCCUUCUUAGAAUUUGAAACAAUCACCCAUGGAAGGAGUUACAGGCUAGAUUCCCAUCUCUUGGAGCAGAGGUUGUUGCUGCUGAGAAGGCAAAGAAGGACACGGUGCUCUUCACGCUGGCACGAGUGUGUGGCAUGCUUGUGGAACGAAUUGCAUGUGCAGAGGACAAGCUGUUCUGGGGACCAGAGAGGGAGCUGCUGAGCUGAGAAAGAAGGCUGCUGCACAUGUUUGCCAGACAGGGUCAAGGAAGGCAAAUUAUGACUUUUAACUCUCAAUGAACCUGUACAUCUAGUGACAGACAAUGAAUGUCUAGUCUUAAUGAGAACGCAUGUAAGC
rnacentral:lncRNA from 1 species